GACUUGAUGGUGUAGUUGGUAACACCUCGACUUAUGCUUCUUCGAGUGGCCACUGGCUGCUUAUCGGAAUUCCAUAAUCAAAAAUGUUGAGGACCCGCGUUCGAAUCGUGGUCAAGUCG